rnacentral:rRNA from 1 species
UACGAAGGGGGCUAGCGUUGUUCGGAAUUACUGGGCGUAAAGCGUGCGCAGGCGGCUUCUCAAGUCAGGGGUGAAAGCCCAGAGCUCAACUCUGGAAUUGCCUUUGAGACUGAGUGGCUUGAGUACGAGAGAGGUGAGUGGAAUUCCCAGUGUAGAGGUGAAAUUCGUAGAUAUUCGCAAGAACACCAGUGGCGAAGGCGGCUCACUGGCCCGAUACUGACGCUGAUGCACGAAAGCGUGGGGAGCAAACAGG